rnacentral:rRNA from 1 species
GACAGAGGGUGCGAACGUUGUUCGGAAUUACUGGGCGUAAAGCGCGAUGUAGGCUGUUCGGAAAGUCGGGUGUGAAAGCCCUGGGCUCAAACCCUAGGAAGUGCACUCGAAACUCCCGAACUGGAGUCCCGGAGAGGAAGGCGGAAUUCUCGGUGUAGAGGUGAAAUUCGUAGGAUAAUCGAGAGGAACAUCGGUGGCGAAGGCGGCCUCUGGACGGUGACUGACGCUGAGACGCGAAGCGUGGGGAGCAAACAGG